rnacentral:rRNA from 1 species
GAUGAACGCUGGCGGCGUGCCUAAUACAUGCAAGUCGAGCGAACAGAUGAGGAGCUUGCUCCUCUGACGUUAGCGGCGGACGGGUGAGUAACACGUGGAUAACCUACCUAUCAGACUGGGAUAACUUCGGGAAACCGGAGCUAAUACCGGAUAAUAUAUUGAACCGCAUGGUUCAAUGGUGAAAGACGGUUUUGCUGUCUCUUAUAGAUGGAUCCGCGCCGCAUUAGCUAGUUGGUAAGGUAACGGCUUACCAAGGCAACGAUGCGUAGCCGACCGGAGAGGGUGAUCGGCCACACUAGAACUGAGACACGGUCAAGACGCCUACGGGAGGCAGCAGUAGGGAAUCUGCCGCAAUGGGCGAAAGCCUGACGGAGCAACGCCGCGUGAGUGAUGAAGGUCUUCGGAUCGUAAAACUCUGUUAUUAGUGAAGAACAAAUGUGUAAGUAACUAUGCACGUCUUGACGGUACCUAAUCAGAAAGCCACGGCUAACUACGUG